rnacentral:misc_RNA from 1 species
UCCUGGUUAACCCAGGCAGUCUCAUUAGAGUUCCCACCCUAAGUGUUGGCAACUAAUGAUAAGGGUUGCGCUCGUUGCGGGACUUAACCCAACACCUCACGGCACGAGCUGACGACAGCCAUGCAGCACCUGUGUAGCAGUCCUUUCGGAAGGCGACAUCUCUGCCGCUGUCCACUACAUGUCAAACCUGGGUAAGGUUCUUCGCGUUGCAUCGAAUUAAACCACAUGCUCCACUGCUUGUGCGGGCCCCCGUCAAUUCUUUUGAGUUUCACCCUUGCGAGUGUACUCCUCAGGCGGCAUACUUAACACGUUAGCUCCGACACAACUGGGGUUGAGACCAGUUACAUCAAGUAUGCAUCGUUUAAGGCUAGGACUAC